CUACGUGCCAGCAGCCGCGGUAAUACGGAGGGUGCGAGCGUUAAUCGGAAUAACUGGGCGUAAAGGGCACGCAGGCGGUUAUUUAAGUGAGGUGUGAAAGCCCCGGGCUUAACCUGGGAAUUGCAUUUCAGACUGGGUAACUAGAGUACUUUAGGGAGGGGUAGAAUUCCACGUGUAGCGGUGAAAUGCGUAGAGAUGUGGAGGAAUACCGAAGGCGAAGGCAGCCCCUUGGGAAUGUACUGACGCUCAUGUGCGAAAGCGUGGGGAGCAAACAGGAUUAGAUACCCUGGUAGUCCACGCUGUAAACGCUGUCGAUUUGGGGAUUGGGCUUUAAGCUUGGUGCCCGUAGCUAACGUGAUAAAUCGACCGCCUGGGGAGUACGGCCGCAAGGUUAAAACUCAAAUGAAUUGACGGGGGCCCGCACAAGCGGAGGAACAUGUGGUUUAAUUCGAUGAUACGCGAGGAACCUUACCCGGGAUUGAACUAACGGUGACGAAUCUAGAGAUAG
rnacentral:rRNA from 1 species